rfam:Ciona savignyi cont_50668, whole genome shotgun sequence.
AAGUCAGAAUCCCGCCUGGAAAGCGACGAUGCAUUCGUGCCUCGGCCUCGAGAGGCGUAGCUAGACGGCCGUGUGGCCGUGGAAAGAGCCCGAUUCCGACCCGAGAGGCCGCGGCAAGAGGCGGCCUCGAAGUCGGUGGAUCCUCCUGCUCGAAAGGCGGGGUGCUAAACCAUUCGCAGACGACCUAGUUGAAGAUCGGGGUGUCGUGAUCACUAGAGCAGUACAUCUCACUGCGAUUUGUUGAGAGUAAGCCUCAAGAUCUGUCGGUUUGU